GUCCACGCAGUAAACGAUGAAUACUAGCUGUAUGCGAUAUACUGUAUGUGGCAAAGCGAAAGCGUUAAGUAUUCCACCUGGGGAGUACGUUCGCAAGAAUGAAACUCAAAAGGAAUUGACGGGGGGCCCGCACAAGCGGAGGAACAUGUGGUUUAAUUCGAUGAUACGCGAGGAACCUUACCCGGGCUUGAAAUGCAGACGACCGAUCAGGAAACUGAUUUUCCAGCAAAUGGCGUCUGUGUAGGUGCUGCAUGGUUGUCGU
rnacentral:rRNA from 1 species